ensembl:lncRNA novel transcript
AAAGAAUCAUCUGAAAGGAAUGUGGAGAUCAGAGAAAAAUGAUGGGAAAGUUACCACAGCCUGCAAAUGAGAAAUGAUGAGAGCCUGCCUGGGACAAAGAAUCUACAAUAGAUCUUCUCCAGCAGCUCUGGAGGUCAGACCCAGCUGUGGAGAGAAUCAUUUCUAAAAAACUAGAAGGCACGUUGGGAGACUACUACUUUCUGUGGAUGAAUGGGAAAUUCAAGACAGAAAAUGGAUGGGCGAUAUGGAAAUACAACUGUUUUGCCAGGACGAUUAAAUAUCAUUGAUGCUUCUGGUCUACAAUUAGUCAGAGAAGAGAUUAAAAAAAUGAUGAGUAUUCAAGAAGGAAAGUGUUUGCUUUAACAUAUGAAGAAAAGGAGCUUCAGAGUGGUGAUUAACCCCAGAAUUGUGUGGAACGGAUAUGGAAACAAGACCACAGGAGCAUCGAGAACUGAGCAGAACUGAAGGUGACAUGAAAAUCAGCUGCAAGAUUCACCUCAGGGUGAUAAUGGGCUGCAGGUGGCUGCAGGAAUCCCGGGACAUUCUAGGCACUGCCAUAUUUUCUUAGGGGCCAGUAAGGAUGGCUAUCAUCAGAUGUACCUGAUGAUACAAACAUGGGCUGUCUUGCCUUCUAGUAUUCAUUCUUGAUGAUUGCAUCCAGAGCUCACUUUGGAGGUGCAGAUCAACUCUUCUUCAGGCUCAUCCAUGCGACUUGAGUGGGCUCUCAUCCCCAUUCCCAGGGGCUUAUGACAAUCAAGGUUUCCACUCCUCCAUGGUCUCAAUGGUUUUUCUCCCCAUGGGAAGCACAUAAUCCCAUUAGAGGCCACGGGAAGCUUUUUUGUUGGGCUUUGAGGGAAAAAAGGCUUUUGCAGCCAAUGAAUCGAUCA